rnacentral:rRNA from 2 species
UAAUUUGAGAGUUUGAUCCUGGCUCAGGACGAACGCUGGCGGCGUGCCUAAUACAUGCAAGUCGAACGAACUCUGGUAUUGAUUGGUGCUUGCAUCAUGAUUUACAUUUGAGUGAGUGGCGAACUGGUGAGUAACACGUGGGAAACCUGCCCAGAAGCGGGGGAUAACACCUGGAAACAGAUGCUAAUACCGCAUAACAACUUGGACCGCAUGGUCCGAGUUUGAAAGAUGGCUUCGGCUAUCACUUUUGGAUGGUCCCGCGGCGUAUUAGCUAGAUGGUGAGGUAACGGCUCACCAUGGCAAUGAUACGUAGCCGACCUGAGAGGGUAAUCGGCCACAUUGGGACUGAGACACGGCCCAAACUCCUACGGGAGGCAGCAGUAGGGAAUCUUCCACAAUGGACGAAAGUCUGAUGGAGCAACGCCGCGUGAGUGAAGAAGGGUUUCGGCUCGUAAAACUCUGUUGUUAAAGAAGAACAUAUCUGAGAGUAACUGUUCAGGUAUUGACGGUAUUUAACCAGAAAGCCACGGCUAACUACGUGCCAGCAGCCGCGGUAAUACGUAGGUGGCAAGCGUUGUCCGGAUUUAUUGGGCGUAAAGCGAGCGCAGGCGGUUUUUUAAGUCUGAUGUGAAAGCCUUCGGCUCAACCGAAGAAGUGCAUCGGAAACUGGGGAACUUGAGUGCAGAAGAGGACAGUGGAACUCCAUGUGUAGCGGUGAAAUGCGUAGAUAUAUGGAAGAACACCAGUGGCGAAGGCGGCUGUCUGGUCUGUAACUGACGCUGAGGCUCGAAAGUAUGGGUAGCAAACAGGAUUAGAUACCCUGGUAGUCCAUACCGUAAACGAUGAAUGCUAAGUGUUGGAGGGUUUCCGCCCUUCAGUGCUGCAGCUAACGCAUUAAGCAUUCCGCCUGGGGAGUACGGCCGCAAGGCUGAAACUCAAAGGAAUUGACGGGGGCCCGCACAAGCGGUGGAGCAUGUGGUUUAAUUCGAAGCUACGCGAAGAACCUUACCAGGUCUUGACAUACUAUGCAAAUCUAAGAGAUUAGACGUUCCCUUCGGGGACAUGGAUACAGGUGGUGCAUGGUUGUCGUCAGCUCGUGUCGUGAGAUGUUGGGUUAAGUCCCGCAACGAGCGCAACCCUUAUUAUCAGUUGCCAGCAUUAAGUUGGGCACUCUGGUGAGACUGCCGGUGACAAACCGGAGGAAGGUGGGGAUGACGUCAAAUCAUCAUGCCCCUUAUGACCUGGGCUACACACGUGCUACAAUGGAUGGUACAACGAGUUGCGAACUCGCGAGAGUAAGCUAAUCUCUUAAAGCCAUUCUCAGUUCGGAUUGUAGGCUGCAACUCGCCUACAUGAAGUCGGAAUCGCUAGUAAUCGCGGAUCAGCAUGCCGCGGUGAAUACGUUCCCGGGCCUUGUACACACCGCCCGUCACACCAUGAGAGUUUGUAACACCCAAAGUCGGUGGGGUAACCUUUUAGGAACCAGCCGCCUAAGGUGGGACAGAUGAUUAGGGUGAAGUCGUAACAAGGUAGCCGUAGGAGAACCUGCGGCUGGAUCACCUCCUUU